ACUCCAUUUGGUUCAAGAUCAAUAAAAACAAUAAUGAAAAAUGAACAGAAAAAAAAAUUAAUGUAAAUUAAAUUGAGAAAACAUCUUCACAAAAGUAUGAAGCAACAAAUAUUAGUAAAUAAUCCUUAAAUGAUUACUAAAAUAUUUUAAGAUCAGAACAAUACCUGUAGACGCAUUCUUUCUCAAUCAGGAAUGUUUCCUUGAUCUUUGUAAUUCUACCAUAGCCGCUGUAACAUACCUCUCACUUCACUUCUCACUUCACUUCCAGCACUUCAUGUCUUUCAUAUUUCUUCAUACUAAUACAUGAAGAAAUAUGAAAGACAUGAAGUGCUGGAAGUGAAGUGAGAAGUGAAGUGAGAGGUAUGUUACAGCGGCUAUGGUAGAAUUACAAAGAUCAAGGAAACAUUCCUGAUUGAGAAAGAAUGCGUCUACUGAUUGUUUCUGAUCUUAAAAUAUUUUAGUAAUCAU